rnacentral:rRNA from 1 species
UACGGAGGAUCCAAGCGUUAUCCGGAAUCAUUGGGUUUAAAGGGUCCGUAGGCGGUUUGGUAAGUCAGUGGUGAAAGCCCAUCGCUCAACGGUGGAACGGCCAUUGAUACUGCCAGACUUGAAUUAUUAGGAAGUAACUAGAAUAUGUAGUGUAGCGGUGAAAUGCUUAGAGAUUACACGGAAUACCAAUUGCGAAGGCAGGUUACUACUAAUGGAUUGACGCUGAUGGACGAAAGCGUGGGUAGCGAACAGG